AAACCUGCAAAAUUUCAAACACAUUCAUUUCCCAGCUCAUUUCUUUCCUUUUAAAACUAGCAGCAAACAUUUCUGUUUUCCAAGUUCCUUCCUAUUAAUUUGCAGAGAGCAAUUCACAGGGGACUGAUGAAUUAUGGGGUUAAAAAUUCCAGGCACUACAGUUUGAGAGCCACAAAGUAGUGCUUUUUAUCAUGCAGUAAACUGCCCAGAAUAGUACAUUGCACUAAUGUGACAGUAUACAAAUUUGAAAAAUCAAUAUAAUAAAUAAAUACCGUAAAUAAAGUUGAUAGCAUUCAAUUUCCCUUUUGUUUCCCUUUCCAGAAUUCCCUGCAGUCCUUCAGGGCAUGAAAAACAAAUGCUGUGUAAUGCCAUCCUUCUGUGUUUUCUCCAGCACUACGAGGAGUUAUUUCUGGAUUGCCCUGAGAAUCAAACCCUACUGAGUGAAGGAAAUGAUGAACCCCAGCACCUCUGUUUUACCCCACUGCCUCAGGGCCUCCAAGAACAGAUGGAGGAGAUAAAUCUCCCAUAAAAGCUGUGCCAAGAGCCGGCAACUCAAGAUGGCUUGGCAGCUUCCCUCCACUUGGUGUCAGUAUUACUUUUUCUCAAGCUCAUGGGUCAGCGCUCUGCACAAACUGGAUUGAUUUUAAGUUAGAGUUUUCAAGACCUUAAAAGAAGAAGAAGAAGGCUCUUUGCUCCUGAUAGUGGCUUCCUCUGUUUCCAAGACAAGGUGUAUUGUAACAGAUUUAGAACAAUGACAUGUUUUUUUCCCCAAAGAAUAUCAGAGUGCAGAUCCCCUGAGGAUUCAAACAGAAAACACUGCAAUUUAUGUAGUCUGUGACCUGCCAAGAGAACUUUGCACUUAUGGGUGGUCUAGGAAUGUUGCAAACAAGCAAACAAGUUGUCAAGACACAGAGAGCAUUCAGGCCGUGAGACAUAAGGGGGAAAACCUAAUUGGAUUUACAAACAUUUGCAAGAUCUUGGCAAAUGGAACUGGGGUUGAGAGAGAGGGAAGUUUCUAUCCCUCUUCCUACUAUAUGCAGUUAUUUGGCUAUAGUACUUAAGUUCUGAUAUGUGAAAUGACUAUUCUAAUAAAUAUUGAAAUGGAUCUAUGCA
rnacentral:lncRNA from 1 species